AACGAACGCUGGCGGCAGGCCUAACACAUGCAAGUCGAACGCCGUAGCAAUACGGAGUGGCAGACGGGUGAGUAACACGUGGGAACGUACCCUUCGGUUCGGAAUAACUCAGGGAAACUUGAGCUAAUACCGGAUACGUCCGAGAGGAGAAAGAUUUAUCGCCGAGGGAUCGGCCCGCGUCUGAUUAGCUUGUUGGUGAGGUAACGGCUCACCAAGGCGACGAUCAGUAGCUGGUCGAGAGGAUGAUCAGCCACAUUGGGACUGAGACACGGCCCAAACUCCUACGGGAGGCAGCAGUGAGGAAUUUCGUCAAUGGGGGCAACCCUGAACGAGCAACGCCGCGUGCAGGA
rnacentral:rRNA from 1 species